ensembl:lncRNA MIR9-3HG MIR9-3 host gene
ACGGAGCGGCCGCGCCCCGACCAGUUACUCCCCUGCUGGUGCCUCCCUCCUUGGCGCGCUUCCCACCUGCGAUCGGCGCCCUCUUCGCAGUCACGAACUCGCCAGCAGCUAGCAGCACUGACUAGUAGGAGGGCCCGCCGGAGGAGAGCCGCGCGGCCCACAGAAGCGGAACGCGCGUCGAGAGCGCCCUGUCCGCUCGCCCCAGACAGAUGCCCGGUUAUUCAUUACCGCGAGGCCUAGAGGAAAGAGUGGCUGCCGUCUUCCUGCCCACAGCCCGCCGGACCCUCCGUCGCGGCUGCCCGGUCCCCGGAGCCGCAGCCGCCGAGCCCGGCUGUGCGUGUCGUGGCUGCUGGGGAGAAAGAGGCUUCCGGAAGCCCCAGAGAGAUUGGUGAGGGUGAUUUCCCAGGAAGACGCAGUGUGCUCUGACUUCUGUGACAGACAUGCUCUGGAGUCAGAAGACAGCGAAAAGAGAAGCAGAAGCCCCGGUGGCAAGAGUCUGAAGGAAGGAUGACUGUAGCCUGUGGAUUGUACUGCAGUAGGAAACUGUCCUAGCAAGGCUCCACUUUGCCCCAGCUUCAAGCUGGAAAGGAGGAGAACAUGAAACAUUGCUUGAAGACAAUGGCCGAGACAGCAGGUCCCACCCUGCACAGCCACCAGCAUCUCUCCCCUCAGCCCUGUCUCCUCUUCUGCAGUUGGGAUCUGCACAUUUAAGCCUGAAAUUGUCCUGUGAAGUGAAGUAUGAUCGGACAGCCUCUUUUCAGCUUUUAUGACAAUGGAGACAGAGGAAUUGUGGCUCUUGCCAAGGUCACAGGAUUGGAAUACAGAGCCAAGCCACCCCAGGACAUGCAAGAGCCUCAGAAGGGAAAAAAGCCCAGCAGGAAGGGAGAACAAGUAGCCUCUGUCCUGAAGUUGUAACAGCCAGGGGCCAGGAUGGAGGAGGAGGACCCCAUAAUCUGCCCAUCUGGGACUUGGCAGGGGACCUGGGAAAAUGUACCCCAACCCAUCCCUUAAGGGCCUUUGUCUUUGGCCCAUUGGCCUAGCAUCUACUUCUUCACCGUGUCUGUUCUUGUCACACCUAGUCAGGUCUGUUUGGGUCUGAGGUGCAUGGAACAUUCUGGGUAGGCCUCCAGCAAACGGAAGCUCUUCACCGUGUUUCCAGCCUGGGACCAAGGGCAGCAUACUGGCAAAGUUGCCAAAGCAAGGGACUCCAGCCUCUUAGGAGUUAAUGACUCCCUCUCCCCAGCUGUCCUCCCCUUGGUGCUCCUCUUCCUCCCUCCUCCUGCUCACAGCAGGCAGGGCCUAGACCCGGGAGCCAUGCUGCUGUGCUGUUGCCAGGGGAGCACGGAGGCAGAUCUGAGCUAUGCAGGGAAAAGGCCCAGCCUGUCAAAGUGUCUGAGAUGAACCGCCGCCGUCCCUGUGCAGCUGGGCUCAGACGUGUCUCAGCUCUUGUUCUGUGCCUGAGAAUGGCGAAACCCAGUGAGGUUCAAGGGCAAACUCGCUAUUCAUUAGUCAGGGGUUCUUGACGUCCCGUCUCUCCCAGGGAUGAGUUCCCCCCUCCUCUUUCUCCCCCUCCUAUGACACAUUCCUGGGUGCCUUUGGUGAGGACUGCACACCCUCCUCCUGCCUAGCCCCCUCUCCAAAGGCCCCUGAAUAAACUCCCCCCAAGGAGACCAGGCAGGGCAGAGACAAUGGCUGCAGGAAAUCAUUCAGGCGGGACAUGCUGGCCUGCCCUCCACCCAGUCCCCCUGUGGGCCCCACUCCCUUCUGAUUCAGGGCACCCUUGGGCCCCCAGCCUAUACAGGCCUGGACAGGAAGAAACCACUGGGAACCACCCUAAGGACAACAUGCUAGUCCAGUGCCAUUCUUCGCUGGCUCUGUGGGUGCCUUUGUGGCCUGUACCGACUGGCUGGCUAAUUUUGUGGUUUCUGUACCAUCACAUGCCUAUUUUAAGACACUCUCCAGCACUGUCGGUUAGGGAGUGUAAAUUUUGCAAUAUUUUCUGAAAUGUGGCAAUAUCAAAAUGUAAAAGGCACACAUACUUGGUCACAAACAAAUGGCACUAUUUACUCUGUGGGCAUAUUUGUAAAAGUUGCCAAAGAAUUAUAUACAAGGAUGUUCAUCAGAGCAUUUCUUUUGAAGAGUAAAGAAAUGGACAUGAACCUGUGGUCCGUUCAUACGGUGGAAUACCUAUGCAGCUGUAAAAAUCAGUGUGGUAGAUCUCCGUAUAUGAGUUGAUGUGGAAGGUUGGCCAGUUCACAUGAUAAGGUGAAUAGAAUAAGUUACAGAACAGGCUGUAGAGUAUGAUCUUAUUUGUAGAUGUUUAAAACUGAGUCAUAAGUAUGCUUAUAUACAGAUCGUUUCUGGAAGUAUGUACUGGAAGUCUACCUCUGGGGAGUGGGGAUGGGGGAGUGCACUCUUCUAUACUGUUAUAUUUUCUUUUCAUGCUCCUAAGGUACUUUUAUUGGAAGAUGUAAAGCGGUUCAAUGUAAUAGGCUUAACUUCUGUCAACUAAGUUGGCGUGGGUGCUUUAAGAGGGUGGUAGUGAUGUUGCUGGAGAAAGUAUCCCACAGUCACUGGUGGCUUCAGCCACGGGCCAUUUUGGGGCCUAAUAAUCACAUAUCAUCAUGGUUGCUAGUGUUAAUCGAAAACCUACUAAGUGCCAGGCUUACUGUCUCUGGGUCUUGCUUACGUGGAUGUCAUUUUUCCAGUUGCACCAAAUCGAAAGAGGUUAAUUGGUUUGUUGGAGUUCCUUUGUAGGUGAAGGGCAGAGCCAGGAGCUUGGCUAGGGACAGGGGAGGUGAGUGGGGGAUGGUGGAUAGGUCUUGGCUCCCAGUUUCCUUCUGGGCAGACAUUGCCCCUCUGCCCUGAGGACCUGCUUGUUUGGGGGAAGAGGCCUUUAGAGGCACCAGGGUCAUGCCAGGUGUUGGACAUGGUGAACUGGGAAGUGCUCCCAUCUGGCCACAGCGCAGAAGUAUCACCGUGCUGGGGGAUGGGGAACAGGGCUGUGAAUGGGCCUAUUUGCAUAAGCAGCAUGUGUCUGGAGAGAAAGACAUCACAGAGCAGAAGAGUGCGGGUGCCCAGGAGUGCACUUGCCACCCCUACUUCAUCCCUGAAAGAGUAAAUGGCCUGGAAGGUGUCUCUGAGAGGUAAUGCCGCACACCACCCUCCCUGGGGGCAGGGUCAGGCUACACCUGCCUUAGGUCGGGGGCUGCAGCAGCCUGAGAGCUCUCAGUAGGGCCUCAGUAGCCUGGGAGGGAGCAGGGGCAGGGGGCAGGGAAAGAGGCGUAAUGGGGCUGUCCAGAGGGGCCUGGGAAACCUGGUCCCUGAGGCCUGGGCACAGCUACAAUCACUUCAAAUUGGCUGUGGGGCCAGUGGACUGGGAAGGAAAAAAGCAAUAAGAGUGACCAAGUGCAGAAGGCUGUCAGGUCCCAGGUCACAUGCCUUAGUGCAGUGACUCCUCAUCAUUUUAUGGGGUGUGGGUGUCGUUGGUACACCCAUUUUACAGAUGAGGACACCGAGGCCCAGAAAAGUUAAGUUACAUGUCCUAAGUCACACAGCUUGUAAGUGCCAGAACUGAGAUCAAAACCAAGUCUCUUUGACUUUAAAGUCUGUACUCUGACCCCAAAGAGAUCCUGUUUGGCCACUUAUAGGAGGUCCCUAAAGCUGCAGACUCCCCUUGCCGGCACCCACAUAUAGAGACAUUAACCCUUCCCCUGCAGGGUCACCUCAAAUAGUCUUUUAGCUGGGCUUCUCCUGCAAUUCCACCUAAUGCCAUCCCCUGGGUUUUGCCCAAACCUGAACUGGGCAGUGGGGUGAGAGGAGGGGUUUACAGGGUUACAGAGCCUCAUACAGAUAGGAGCCCAUGGCUGCUGGUCAUCUGCAUUCCUGCAGGAUUGGCUGUUCCUUGGGGUCCUUGGCAGGAAAAUGAGGAUUGCUCCGAGGCCUGCUCCAGUACUUCCCAGAGGCUGGCCUGGUGUGGGGCUCUGGGAAGGCUGAGGCUGGAGAAGCGUAAGUAGGAGGGCAGAGAUGGCACUCAGGUAGCUUGAAUCACCAGGACCCUUCCAAGCCCCACAGGUUCUGAGGGAGUACUAGGGCCAGCUCUGGGAGAGGUCUCUUCCUAUGCUGUGAACCCCCUGCCUUUCUUGCAGCCUACAACGAAUAAAUUUUCUUUGCAA